rnacentral:misc_RNA from 1 species
GAGCUGUCAUUCGGGGGAAGAAGGUGUUGUACUCAUUUUUAAUAUUUGGUUUCACUUUGACCUACAUUUUCAUCUAAACUUGCUUAAAAUACAAUCUUUGAUGUAAGUGUACAAAGAUCACCUUAUGUGAUAACACCAAUAACGCUUCAUAUUCUAUGUUAAAUUUUAAUUUGAAGUUUGAACAUUCAGUAUGUGCAUGAUGCAUUUACAUUGUUUGCCGUUUGUUACAUUUUGAAAUUCUAUUGCUUAUUACAUUGUCAAGUUUUUCUUGUUCUUGUUGUCUUCUGAGCCUUUAUCAUUUCAAUUUCAGGGACCUGGUGGUGUUACUGUUAAGAAG